rnacentral:tRNA from 1 species
GGAGAGGUCGCAUAGUUGGUCUAGUGCGCCCGCCUCGAAAGUGGGUAAGCGCAAGCUUCGUGGGUUCGAAUCCCACCCUCUCCG